rnacentral:rRNA from 1 species
ACCAGCGGAGAUAGCACAUUUAAUGCUCCAGUUCCCCACGGAUCACUGAAGUUAAGCAACGUUGCGCGUGGUUAGUACCUGGAUGGUGACCAUUAGGGGAAUCGUUUGCUGCCAGGUU